rnacentral:rRNA from 1 species
AAUGGCUCAUUACAACAGCCACUGUUUACUUGAUCUUGACUAUCCUACUUGGAUAACUGUGGUAAUUCUAGAGCUAAUACACGCAAUAAAGCUCCGACCUUACGGGACGAGCGCAUUUAUUAGACCAAAACCAAUCGGGCUUCGGCCUGAAACGUUGGUGACUCUGAAUAACUGAGCUGAUCGCAUGGUCUUUGUACCGGCGACGCAUCUUUCAAGUGUCUGCCUUAUCAACUUUCGAUGGUAGUUUAUGUGCCUACCAUGGUUGUUACAGGUAACGGAGAAUAAGGGCUCGACUCCGGAGAGGGAGCCUGAGAAACGGCUACCACAUCCAAGGAAGGCAGCAGGCGCGCAAAUUACCCACUCUCGGCACGAGGAGGUAGUGACGAAAAAUAACGAGGCGGUUCUCUAUGAGGCCCGCUAUCGGAAUGGGUACAAUUUAAACCCUUUAACGAGGACCUAUGAGAGGGCAAGUCUGGUGCCAGCAGCCGCGGUAAUUCCAGCUCUCAAGGUGUAUAUCGCCAUUGCUGCGGUUAAAAAGCUCGUAGUUGGAUCUGCGCCUUCGGACUCGGUCCGCCCAACGGGUGUGAACUGGGAUCCAAGGCUUAUACUGCUGGUUUUCCCUUGAUGCUCUUUACUGGGUGUCUU